rnacentral:rRNA from 1 species
AUGAACGCUGGCGGCGUGCCUAAUACAUGCAAGUCGAGCGAACAGACGAGGAGCUUGCUCCUCUGACGCUAGCGGCGGACGGGUGAGUAACACGUGGAUAACCUACCUAUAAGACUGGGAUAACUUCGGGAAACCGGAGCUAAUACCGGAUAAUAUAUUGAACCGCAUGGUUCAAUAGUGAAAGACGGUUUUGCUGUCACUUAUAGAUGGAUCCGCGCCGCAUUAGCUAGUUGGUAAGGUAACGGCUUACCAAGGCAACGAUGCGUAGCCGACCUGAGAGGGUGAUCGGCCACACUGGAACUGAGACACGGUCCAGACUCCUACGGGAGGCAGCAGUAGGGAAUCUUCCGCAAUGGGCGAAAGCCUGACGGAGCAACGCCGCGUGAGUGAUGAAGGUCUUCGGAUCGUAAAACUCUGUUAUUAGGGAAGAACAAAUGUGUAAGUAACUAUGCACGUCUUGACGGUACCUAAUCAGAAAGCCACGGCUAACUACGUG